UGGGGGACGCGGCCGAGCGGAAACGCUGCACAGAGGAGCCUCAGCGAACCAAGAAAAAAGAGAAAGUGGCAACGAAAACAAGGGCAAAUUGAACCCUCCUCGGGGAUUUCCAGUGAACUAACCCGACUCGGACAUUCAAUAAAUACAUCGUCCCUAAUGAGUGUGCGUGCGCGUGCACCCCGCACCCGGCCGCCCUGGACGCAGACGCGGAGCCGCCGUGGUGCUGGGGGCUGCCCUUCUCCGGCGAAUAAUUCCUCUGCCGCGCGCAGUCAGUUUCGGUGGCGGGGGUGGGGGCUUGGUUAGGUCCGGAGCUCCCCAGCUUAGCCGCAGCCUUGAAGCCCUUGCGAGGUCUCGUGAUGAAUGGUGGGCGCGGAGCACUUGUGUGUGAUGUGGUCCCUCUCCUGUGUGCAGGGGGAGAGAUGCCCUCCUAGGUGGGUUUUAGCGGAUCCAUUAUUGCGAAGAUAUAGACCUGAAGGGCAGUGGUAACCAAACCCCAGACAGAACGGAUUUUUACCUCUGCGUCCCCUUAAGGUUCCCUUUCCUAUUUAUGUAUGCGUGUAUGUAUAUAUGGAAGAUGGAACACAGAUUUCAUUCAAUAAAUCUGAGAUCUCCAGGUGCAGGCGUUUGAAUAGUCGGUGCCAGCACCCCGUGUUUUCUUUUCCUGCCGAUUUUGCUUGGAUCCGACUCAAAAACCGAGAGAGUCUCGUGGUUUUGUUUACACUGAAUGGGGAGGGUAGGAACAGAGCCAUGGGGCCCCUUUCAUUAAUAUACAGUGAGGAUUUUGUCUAAAUUACCGCUAUGAAUUUCACAGUACACGCUUUCAAAAGCAGUCUCAGGUGGCCUGAUGAAACGGGAGAGCGCCUCCGCAAACACAUCCACUUUCUUUCUUUUCAAGGAGGGUGUGUGCGCGUAUGGGAAGCCCCCCAAAACGCCGUGCUCCUCGAAAUCAGAAAUGCACUUCUGUUGCGAGCUGGGUCCCCUCGGUCCUCCGCCUCCGCGUACUUAGUUCUCCAGUCGCUCCCCAGCCCCACCCAUCCGCCCCCUCCCUCUGCCGAGUGUGAUUGUUUUGUCUGGAAAAAAAAAAAAAAUCCAAAGUAUAUAACAAGGGGAGAACAGUUAGUGCUGACUUUCAUUUGCAUACAUUUUCAUAUAUUUUGGUGAAAAUAAUAGACGAGUGGAGAGCCGGGCUUAGAGGAGUCAGAGGAAAGAGAAGACUGAGGAGGUACCGCUUCUGGGGAGUUGAGAAUAUGUCUUUUCCCCCCACCAGUCCCUUAUUUAUUUUUUUUUUAAUAAAACCUCUUCCUUUAUUUUAAUAUCUAAUCCUGGAAGUUUGCUCGGCCUUAAUGCUAUUUGACUUCCAAGAAGAACUGAAAUAAAUUAUGUUCAGAGCUCCUUAGAAGAAAUACCCUUACAGGUUGAAAGUGUCGUUACCUCCACAGGGACUUCCUAGUUGCCCUCUGCAGGAGAUCAUAAGACAUCCCAGGAAAUGGAAGAGCAGUUUUGCUGAGUAAAUGUGAAACAGGCUUCGGGAUGGAGAGAAAAAUCAGCUGUUCAGCUCCCUCUCUGCUCUCCAGUGAAAGCCCUGAGACUGGAAAUCUCUACGAUUCUUCUCCAGUGCUUUUCAAGUUUUAAUCGAAGAACAUCUUUGUGAUCAGAUUAACCAAAUAUUGACCCCCAAAAGGAAGCUAAGACUCAGAGAAGAUCGGUAGAGACCUUUCAAGCCUCUAAUAUGCUGCUGCCUCUUAGCUGUUGGAAUCAGAGCAUACUUGUUGCAAGUGGCUACGGUGAGGAAAUGACCAGCUCGAAGCAGAUACUAAUUUUCCCUGCCCCCUCACCCCCACCCCAAUGAGCUGGCACAUGCUGGAGGUGGUGCAUGGCAGAGCUGCGCUGCUCCUAAGAGGUAUGUUUCUGAAGAGAACGGGAAAUGGGCACCGCUGCACACAGGUGUGGUCCUCUGUGGUCCCACCCGUCUUCCCAGAAAGUCCCUGGAGUAGCCACACCUAAGAAAGUGAUCCAAUCAAGAAAACAAAACAUUCCACCCUGCAUCAGGGUCAGCAGUUUAGGAGGUGACGGGAACUGAGUUCUGCGAUAUUGCUGUCGCCAGUGGUGACUUGCACAGAGGAGCCCCUGGAGCCCCUGAGAGCCACACCUGGCCCCUCGGACACCAAACUCAUGGCCGCCUAGCACUCAGAUGACGGGGGAGCUGUGCCUUCUUGGCAGGCAGGACCCUGCCAACAGACGUCCAGCAGAUGGGAUGCUUCUCACUGCAACGUUGAGGGUGGUCCUUUUAACUCCAUCCGCCCAUUUGAAGGCCAGGCUUCUCCAGAAACACCCUCAACAGACACACCCCGAAAUACAUUUCACCAGCUCUCUGGGCCUCCCUUAGCCCCAUCAAGUUAACCCAUCAUACCAACCAUCACAAAUAACUGUGUGUGAAGGGUGAAAGCCCCAUGUCUCUGAAGCCAGUGGGUGUUCACAAGAGGAUUAUGGGAAGAGGGACAGAAGUGCCUGGAUGUACUGUUCAGAACUGGCAGGACCGGCCUCUAAAAGGAAGACUUAAAAUGAUGUUUUUGACAUCAACACUUUCCCCAAAGUUGAUACAUGUGGGAUCGUAGCUUACUGACCAGGGUUCGAACCCAGACCCCCUGCACUGGAAGGUAAAGUUUUAACCACUGGACCAGCAGAGAAGUGCUGCAGGAGUGUUUCUUGGACAAUAGGCUGUCCAGUUGCAAGCAGGCUGGGAAAAGCUGGUCAUGGUUCUGUGAUGCUGUUC
ensembl:lncRNA